GUCACAGUGAGUUCACAAAAUCAAUUGACAGUAUGCUUUAGCUGUGGAUGACUUUCUAGAGAUAGGUCAGCUGUGAAGACUGCACUGUUAAUUACCCAUGAUGAAAAGUGAAAUCAGCUUAAGUGAUUUCCUUAGCACCACCCAGGAUCUUUUUAGAAGGUGCUAGAAUGGGAUCUGCUUUUCCAGAGGACACAAUGCUACAGCAAUUCAGCCUUGAUGAAGUGGGAGAUGUUCUGAUUGGAACUGGAACCAUCCACCUACUUCUGUUCAUUACAUCGACGCUGCUCUGUUCUCUUCUCUGAACUCUGAGAGUUACUUAUCCACCCACAUAGUUAAUCUACAGAAACCAUUCUCAAAG